UGGGGGGAGAGGGACAGGAAAAGGGGUGUUGUGUAAUCUUCUGGUAAGUAUUGACUGUGGCCUUGACCAGAUCAAGGACGAAAACACUGGCUCUGUAUUCUUACUGUGCCAACUACUAAGCCAAAAAGCAAAGCACAAAGACUUUCCAGAGAAAACCUUCACAGACCUUUGGGAAAAUUUCUUUCUUUAGAUGCUGAAGUGAAGAGGAGGAGGCCACUAUCUCUCCUGCACAGCUUUCAGUUGGCUAUCUGAAAGGAUGCAACACACACCACUCAAGCUGGAAGCACUGCAAGGAAAAGAAAAAAACCCUUUAUCUUGCAUGAAAACCUCUGUCUGGUACUUGCACUGGAAAACAGGCAUGGGCCCUCUCAAAUCGGCUCAGCACAGAUAUGGCAUUUUAGGGCCCCUCUUAAAGAAGGAGUAUGGAAAAAUCACUAUGAUGAAAACAGCACUACAAGAAAGGGCUGAGGGAAAAGGUUCAUAUCUCCUGCAGCCCUGCUUCUGACCCAUCCUUCUCCCCUCUUGGCAGGAGGAGAACAUUAAUGCUGGGGAGAGAGGAGAUUAGUGCACAGAGCUUUCAACUAGUUCAGAAAAGGCACAAAUGUAUUCAUGCUGUAA